rnacentral:rRNA from 1 species
UACGGGGGGGGCAAGCGUUGUUCGGAAUUACUGGGCGUAAAGGGCUCGUAGGCGGCCAACUAAGUCAGACGUGAAAUCCCUCGGCUUAACCGGGGAACUGCGCUUGAUACUGGAUGGCUUGAGAUUGGGAGAGGGAUGCGGAAUUCCAGGUGUAGCGGUGAAAUGCGUAGAUAUCUGGAGGAACACCGGUGGCGAAGGCGGCAUCCUGGACCAACACUGACGCUGAGGAGCGAAAGCCAGGGGAGCAAACGGG